GGCCUCAUAAUCUUCCUACAGGGGAUGCUGAAUUCCAUAACCACUGCCCUAUUGUUAGACUGUUUCCAUUUCCCCAGUUGUAACAGGCUAUGAGAUACAGAUUUGUACACAAAUCUUUUCUUCCGCCAUGUCUGCUGGUUACCUUAGGACCCAUUCCCAGAAGGGAAAUUACUGAGCAAAAGCAAAUGAGCAUUUUUCAAGCUACAGAUUCUGGAACUGCUCUCCAGACACACCGCUUCAGUCUCCCAGGGUCUCCACCAACCCAGCCACCUUUGGCUCUGAGGACGUUCUGCAGUGAAAUAACCAUUUCUUUGAGCUCUCAUAAAGAACCUACCAUUCAGUGACUCCCAGAGCUUUUUGCACAUGAAAUGGAUAAGGAAAAUGUCUGAGACAAACAAUCUGAAUUUUAAAUGCAGAUCAAAGUCCUUGCAGCAGCGAAGAAAGCCUGUGGGUAUUUCAUGGAGGUUUACCAAGAAAGCAGGCAUCUUCGCCUCCACUUCAUGAACUUGUAUUUUAAGAAGCUCAGCCAUUCCAGUCCAUGCAGAAAAAGACUCUCAAAGGAAUAUUUACAAUGUGGAUCUUAUAUUAAACAUUUGGUUUUAUAUGCUUAAAUAUUUAUAAAAGCAUAUGUGGAAUAAAUUUUAGUCCACAAA